AGUCGAUGAUGGGAGCUAGCUUGCUAGAAGAAGUCAUGGCGGACGGGUGAGUAACGUGUAAAGAACUUACCAUAUAGACUGGGAUAACAGAGGGAAACUUCUGAUAAUACUGGAUAAGUUAGAAGUAGCAUUACUAAGUAAUGAAAGGUAGCAAUACGCUAUAUGAGAGCUUUGCAUCCUAUUAGCUAGUUGGUGGGGUAAAAGCCUACCAAGGCGAUGAUAGGUAGCCGGCCUGAGAGGGUGGACGGCCACAAGGGGACUGAGAUACGGCCCUUACUCCUACGGGAGGCAGCAGUGGGGAAUAUUGGACAAUGGAGGCAACUCUGAUCCAGCAAUUCUGUGUGUGUGAAGAAGGCUUUAGGACUGUAAAACACUUUUAGUAGGGAAGAAAGAAAUGACGGUACCUACAGAAGAAGCGACGGCUAAAUACGUGCCAGCAGCCGCGGUAAUACGUAUGUCGCGAGCGUUAUCCGGAAUUAUUGGGCUUAAAGGGCAUCUAGGCGGUUAAACAAGUUGAAGGUGAAAACCUGUGGCUCAACCAUAGGCUUGCCUACAAGACUGUAUAACUAGAGUACUGGAAAGGUGGGUGGAACUACACGAGUAGAGGUGAAAUUCGUAGAUAUGUGUAGGAAUGCCGAUGAUGAAGAUAACUCCCUGGACAGCAACUGA
rnacentral:rRNA from 1 species